GGGAGGAAAACCUGUUUUCCAGCCUUCUGAUGAGAGGAAAAGUACAAAUGAGCUGCAGAAAGCAGGAACCGGCACCUGCAGCAUGAUCCUGCCUGAACAUUUCUGACUACCCAAGAAAUAUUCAAGAGGUUCGUGCAUAAUUCACUGGGAAAAGGGACAAUUGCCUCUUUUCUGACAAUGAACACAGAGCUGAGGGAGACAUCCAGGGUCCAAGCUGCCAGAGCAAGGGCAAAACAGGCAGCAAGUCUGCAGCACCGCCUAAGCCUGCAGGGUUCCUCAGCACGGCUGCGUGCCAGCUUGCAUCGGGCAGUCCACCCAAAGCUCCAGGGGAGCUUCUGCAAAAGUCAUGGCAAUGGAAGAAGCUAUGGAAAGUUGCUGGACUGGAGAGCAAAGCUGGAGGAAAGGACUCGUGCUGUGAAAAUAUGCUGGGUUAGAGAAGGGCUUUGUUUUCAGACAUUUGAUUUUAAUCUGUUUCACUCAGCAGAUUUAAGUGCCUUAUUUUUGAAAGAUUUCCUUUUUCAUUCUAGAGACUGAAAGCCCUUUUUGUGGCAUCAGUAUGCUAACCUUACAGGGAGAUGGGCCUUGAACAGUUAUCUGAAAAACACAGUGCACCUUUAUUGACGUACUUAUGUGUCAGUGCAUGUGCAUUUUUGUUUUGGCAAUCCAAAUCUAGGGCUCCAAAUCCUACUAAAGCAGUGAGGAAAAUACUGAAAGGUUUUCCCAUGCCAGUUCCACAGUGUUCCGUUGGUUUAACAGCCAUUACCACCUCAGCUGUUUUCUAGGUUCCCUUUGCAGACAGAGUGGGGAGGGAUUGGCAAGGGCAGCAAGUCAGCCCUUAGGGCAGUCUGAAGUAGAUGAGCUUAGCUGUUAUCUCUGCAUUUCAAGUGAUUCUAGAGGGAGAUGAGAAAAAAGUCUUAGAAUGGCCUCACUAUCUGAACUGUAUCUAGUGAGAGAUGAAAUUAGGUAGGUGAUGAACUUCUUAGAGAUCUGCUGCAUCUUUGGUAGGCAGUUAGCUGCUACUCAGCUGAUCACUCAUACUCUUCCUUCCCCCAGUGGGAUUGGGAUGGGAAUAAGAGGAGAAAGGAAACUCAUGGGUUGAGGUAAAGAAUGUUAACCAGCUAACCCCAGAGAAAAAGUUCAACAGUAAUUGGGGAAGGGAGCAAAGAACUGGAGGAGAGUUUUAUUAAUAUUAUUUAGAAGAAAAUGUAAUUAUGUGGAAUGGAGUUGCUUCAACUAUUCCUUUUCUGAUUGUCAUGCUGGUAGGAUACCAUUACUACUUAAAUGGUAUGUGAUGAGCUCAAAACCAAAGCAAACCUAAAUAAAGACAUAUUUUCUCAUUCAUGUAGCGAGCUUUUACACAAACAUUAGAUUUUCUGUACUGAUCUCUAUUGUGCACAAUUUCAUCAUCCAUCCUCUUUUCCAAAAUGUAUAGUUAGCUCUGUGCUGUUUUGGCCCAAAUGCACUUUUUUUUAUUAAAGUGGUCC
rnacentral:lncRNA from 7 species